GCGCCCGUAGCUCAGUUGGAUAGAGCGUCGGACUUCGAAUCCGCAGGUCGUCCGUUCGAGUCGGACCGGGCGCGCCA
rnacentral:tRNA from 1 species